rnacentral:rRNA from 1 species
UGCAGAUCCCGUGAACCAUCGAGUCUUUGAACGCAAGUUGCGCCCGAAGCCU